rnacentral:rRNA from 2 species
UUGUACACACCGCCCGUCACACCAUGAGAGUUUGUAACACCCAAAGCCGGUGGGGUAACCUUCGGGAGCCAGCCGUCUAAGGUGGGACAGAUGAUUAGGGUGAAGUCGUAACAAGGUAGCCGUAGGAGAACCUGCGGCUGGAUCACCUCCUUUCU